GAGCUCGCUUUGGCAGCACAUAUACUAAAACUGGAUACAGAGAAGAUGAACAUGGACCCUUCCCAAGGAUGACACCCAAAUAUACGUAAGAAAAAUUA
rnacentral:snRNA from 1 species